GCCUUCGUGGUGUAGUGGUCAGCACGUUCCGCGCGCAUUCGAGAGGUCUAUGGUUCGAAUCCCGGCGACGGCA
rnacentral:tRNA from 1 species